rnacentral:rRNA from 1 species
UGGGGAAUAUUGGACAAUGGGGGGAACCCUGAUCCAGCGACGCCGCGUGAGUGAAGAAGUAUUUCGGUAUGUAAAGCUCUAUCAGCAGGGAAGAAAGAAAUGACGGUACCUGACUAAGAAGCCCCGGCUAACUACGUGCCAGCAGCCGCGGUAAUACGUAGGGGGCAAGCGUUAUCCGGAUUUACUGGGUGUAAAGGGAGCGUAGACGGUUACGCAAGUCUGGAGUGAAAGGCGGGGGCCCAACCCCCGGACUGCUUUGGAAACUGUAUAACUGGAGUGCAGGAGAGGUAAGUGGAAUUCCUAGUGUAGCGGUGAAAUGCGUAGAUAUUAGGAGGAACACCAGUGGCGAAGGCGGCUUACUGGACUGUAACUGACGUUGAGGCUCGAAAGCGUGGGGAGCAAACA